CGCUGGCGGCGCGCCUAACACAUGCAAGUCGAACGAGAGAUGAGGAGCUUGCUCUUCAAAUCGAGUGGCGAACGGGUGAGUAACGCGUGAGGAACCUGCCUCAAAGAGGGGGGACAACAGUUGGAAACGACUGCUAAUACCGCAUAAGCCCACGGCUCGGCAUCGAGCAGAGGGAAAAGGAGCAAUCCGCUUUGAGAUGGCCUCGCGUCCGAUUAGCUAGUUGGUGAGGUAACGGCCCACCAAGGCGACGAUCGGUAGCCGGACUGAGAGGUUGAACGGCCACAUUGGGACUGAGACACGGCCCAGACUCCUACGGGAGGCAGCAGUGGGGAAUAUUGCACAAUGGGGGAAACCCUGAUGCAGCGACGCCGCGUGGAGGAAGAAGGUCUUCGGAUUGUAAACUCCUGUUGUUGAGGAAGAUAAUGACGGUACUCAACAAGGAAGUGACGGCUAACUACGUG
rnacentral:rRNA from 1 species